CUAACACAUGCAAGUCGAGCGGAUGAAAGGAGCUUGCUCCUGGAUUCAGCGGCGGACGGGUGAGUAAUGCCUAGGAAUCUGCCUGGUAGUGGGGGACAACGUUUCGAAAGGAACGCUAAUACCGCAUACGUCCUACGGGAGAAAGCAGGGGACCCUCGGGCCUUGCGCUAUCAGAUGAGCCUAGGUCGGAUUAGCUAGUUGGUGAGGUAAUGGCUCACCAAGGCGACGAUCCGUAACUGGUCUGAGAGGAUGAUCAGUCACACUGGAACUGAGACACGGUCCAGACUCCUACGGGAGGCAGCAGUGGGGAAUAUUGGACAAUGGGCGAAAGCCUGAUCCAGCCAUGCCGCGUGUGUGAAGAAGGUCUUCGGAUUGUAAAGCACUUUAAGUUGGGAGGAAGGGCAGUAAACUAAUACUUUGCUGUUUUGACGUUACCGACAGAAUAAGCACCGGCUAACUCUGUGCCAGCAGCCGCGGUAAUACAGAGGGUGCAAGCGUUAAUCGGAAUUACUGGGCGUAAAGCGCGCGUAGGUGGUUUGUUAAGUUGGAUGUGAAAUCCCCGGGCUCAACCUGGGAACUGCAUCCAAAACUGGGCAAGCUAGAGUAUGGUAGAGGGUGGUGGAAUUUCCUGUGUAGCGGUGAAAUGCGUAGAUAUAGGAAGGAACACCAGUGGCGAAGGCGACCACCUGGACUGAUACUGACACUGAGGUGCGAAAGCGUGGGGAGCAAAC
rnacentral:rRNA from 1 species